GAGAGAGAGAGAGAGAGAGAGAGAUGUAAAGCGUAAUAAAGGAGAGAGAGAGAGAGAGAUGUAAAGCGUAAUAAAGGAGAGAGAGAGAGAGAGAGAGAGAGAUGUAAAGCGUAAUAAAGGAGGGAGAGAGAGAGAGAGAGAGAUGUAAAGCGUAAUAAAGGAGAGAGAGAGAGGGGGGGUGUAAAGGGUAAUAAAGGAGAGAGAGAGAGAGAUGUAAAGCGUAAUAAAGGAGAGAGAGAUGUAAAGAGUAAUAAAGGAGAGAGAGAGAGAUAGAGAUGUAAAGCGUAAUAAAGGAGAGAGAGAGAGAGAGAUGUAAAGCGUAAUAAAGGAGGGAGAGAGAGAGAUAGAUGUAAAGCGUAAUAAAGGAGAGAGAGAGAGAGAGAGAAGAAGAGAAUGUAAAG
ensembl:lncRNA